UGACGUCACAAGAGCGGGUCUUUGGCUACAUAAUACUGCGAAGCCUUCGGGGACGUCACAGUGUCGUUACCGUGCCUGGAGUUGGGUUGUUUUCUCCUCAGGGUGGAGCCUGGUAACCGCGAUUUCCCCGCCGUGUUCUGGGUGUUGCUGGCUGGAGAAGGGUAGUUGACAAACUCUGACCCAGCACAGUGUUUCUGUGGGUCAAAACUAGAAAACUAUGUCCGCGCGCCGCCGAGGCGGAAGGAACCGUUCAGGCCAGGAGUUAAAGAGCAGCCUGGGCAACAUGGCACGACCCCAUCUGUCAAGUCCCACCUCAGCUUCCCAGAUACUUGAACCCCAGGGUUCAAGGCUACAAUGAGCUAUGAUCCCAUCACAGCACUCCAUCCUGCGAGACUGAGAGAUGGGGUUUCACCGUGUUGGCCAAGCUGGUCUGGAAUUCCUGACCUCAAGUGAUCUGCCCACCUCGGCUUCCCAAAGUGCUGGGAUUACAGACACGAGCCACUGCGCCUGGCCCCUUCAGGUGGGUUUUGAGGCUUCACUACAAUACUAGUUCCCUGUUGCUGCUGCAACAAAUUACCACACACUUAGUGGCUUAAAACAGCACAGAGGUAUUCCCUUACAGUUCUGAAGGCCAGAAUUCUACAGCCUGUCCCACGGAGUCAAGGUGGGAGCAGGGUUGGUGCCUUCCCAGGCUCUGCGGGAGAUUCCAUUUCCUGGCCCUGGAGGCGGCCUGCUCUCCUCAGCUUGUGCUGCCCUUCUCCAGUGACGCGAGUUUCCUGCUUUCAUCGCUACAUCUCCCUCUGCUCUCCAUCACCUGCUCUGCUCUUAUAAGGAUCCAGCUCAAGCUCUUGGACUCACUGAGGCAGUAAAAGUACCAUAUCCUGUUUGAAUCAAAUCCCGAGUUCCUGUAUGUAGAAGCCUUGCCAGAGGGGAUCCCCUUUCGAACCCCUUCUCGUUUGGAAUUCCAUGACUGGAAAGGAUCCUUCGUGAGAGUAAUAAAAUCAAGUUUGUUGUUAAAAACUUCGCAGUCCCCAAAAAGACCAUGAAGUCCUGAGAGUAAUGAAAAGCUUCCUGACAUUGAGGUCACUGUGGAAGUUGCAGGAAAACAAGCUCAGGACUCCCACUGAUUCUACAUUAUGCCUCAGCCGAGAUGACUCACCCCACUCUCUGUGAUGCAACAAGAAGCCCCUUGGGAGCAUUUCAGUCCCACUCUGAACUUCUGUCAUGUGCUCAUCACAGUCUGAACCAGCUAAGCUGAAGAUUCCCUUGAGAACAAGGGCAAGCCUGUGGUUUCAUGGCCUUUCUUCCAUUUGUGGUUCUUGCCAAGUGGAAUUUAAGUGACCUCUUAUCAAGAUGGAUAAACCCAAGUUUCCCAGUGCUGGAAUACAGAAAACGGAUGGACAACUGAAUCUACCAUGAAAGACUUCAGAGUCCAGGAAGAGAGACUGACUGAGCAACAUCUUAUUCAGUUCUCAGAAACAGAGAAGAAGAUGUGAUGAUGGAAGAAGAGGUCAGAGAGGGAGAUUUGAAGAUGUUGCAGUUCUGGCCUUCAAGAUGGAGUUGGGGCCAUCUUCAAGCAGUAAGAUGACUCUGAAGAAUGGCAUGGAACAGAUCCUUUCGAAUGCACCUGAGCAGGGGUCUCCACCACAGGGCCACAGAGCUGGAGAGGAGCAGCGGAAAAGUGAGGGGAAACUUCAUUUGUGUUUACAGCCCCUCCCCAUGGCUCACAUAACCACCUGAGCGCCAUGUCCUGACAGGUCCAGGUCCAACCUUUCAGUGACCUCUUUAGGCUUAUCUCAUGCCUCACCGCGACCUCAUCAAGCCAGGCUCCUGCUUUUCGCCAACCUCUGCAGCAGAGACCCAGCUCUGCGUCCUGAUGGCCUCUUUAGUCCCAGCUCAUUUCUCACAAUGGCCUCUUUAGGCCCAGCUUUUCCCUUUUGGUGGCCUCUUCAGGCCCAGUCGGCCUCCCGCGGCCCAGCUACAGCCUCCCGGCCUCCUCUCCAGGCCCAGCUCUCUCUCGUGGUUGCGCCUACAGGCCCAGCUCCUGCCUCCAAACAGCCUCUUUUGACUCGGGUCCUGCCCAGCUCCUGGCAGCCUUGGUAGGCCCGAAACCUCCUCCUGUCUAGAUCUCCAGGCCUAGCUCUUGCCUCGCAGCGGCCUUCCCAGGCCCAGAUCUUGCCUCACGGCCGCCUUCCCCAGCCACGUUCUUGCCAGGCUCCCGGCAGCCUCAACAAGCCCACUCCUGCCUCACACUGGCCUCUCUAGGCCUGGCUUCUACCUCACAGUGGCCUCUCCAGACCCAGCUCCUGCCCACCCCGACGGCGUCUCCUUGACCAAGGCUUUCUUAAGUCGGCCCCUCCAGGCCCAGCUCCUGCCUCCCGCCGAUGGCCUGUGCAGGCCCAAAGCAUCCUGAAGUUGGCCUCGCCAGUCCCAGCUCCUGCCUGUCGUCGGCCCCUGGAGGCACGGCCUCUGCCUCCUCCCAGUGGACCCCCCAGGCCCAGUUCUUGCCUCAGCAUGGCCACCUCAGGCCAAGCUCCUGCCUGUUGGCAGCCUCCACGGGCCCAGCUCUUGCCUCUUGGCACCCCCUCCAGGCCCAGAACUGUUUUCAGCCGGCCUCUCCGAGCCCAGCUCUCCCUCCUGGCUGCGUUCUGCCGGCCCAGCUCCUGCCUCACAACAACCACGUUCGGCCCAGCUACUUCCCAGCUUCUGGCAGCCUUUGUAGGCCCCAGGUUCCUCUAAGUCAGGCCUUCCAGGCCCCACCUUCGGCUCCCCGGCAGCCUGGAGAGGCCCAGCUCCUGCCUGACAAUGGCCUCUCCAGACCAAGCUCUUGCUUUGUGUCACCCUCCCCUGGCCAUGUUUCUGCCUGCCUGGUGGCAGCCUCGACACACCCAGCUCCUGCCUCCCGAUGGCCUCUUUAGGCUCAUCUCAUGCCUCACCGUGGCCUCCUGCAGGCCAGGCUCCUGCUCUUCAGCGGCCUCUGCAAGCCUGGGUCCUGUAUCCCGAUGGCCUCUUUAGGCCCAGCUUUUCCCCUGUAGCAGCCUCUCCAGGCCCAAAUCGGCCUCCCGCGGCCCAGUGGCUGCCUCCCGGCCUCCUCUCCAGGCCCAGCUCUCUCUUGUGGCUGCGCCUACAGGCCCAGCCUCUGUCUCCAGCCUCUUUUGAUUUAGCUCCUGCCCAGCUCCUGGCAGCCUUCGUAGGCCCGAAACCUCCUCUGGUGCAGAUCUCCAGGCCCAGCGCUUGCCUUGCAGCAGCCUUCCCAGGCCCAGAUCUUGCCUCACGGUGGCUUUCUUUGGCCACGUUCCUGCUGGCCUCCCAGCAGCCUCAACAAGCCCUUCUCCUGCCUCACACUGGCCUCUCUAGGCCCAGCUCAUGCUUCACGGCGGCCUCUCAGGCCCAGCUCCCGCCCACCCUGACGGCAUCUCCCAGCCCAACGCUUUCUCAAGUUGGACCCUCCAGGCCCAGCUCCUGCCUCCUGCCAAUGGCCUGUACAGGCCCAAAGUGUCCUGAAG